UUCAUUAGAAAAAGCCACAGAAGGCCCUGGGUCCAAAAGACGAAUGCCCUUCCCGGCUUCCACCAUGGACUCUGCCUGCAAGAACUUUACCCCCAGCAGGAAAUCAGUUACGAAAACAAGCACACGUUUCAACGGGCUGAAGAAACGUGCCGGUCUGCCUGCAGCACGGGAUAUUAGCCGACUGUUCCUCGCACACAGGGCUGGCUUUGCUUUUGCUUGGCUGUCGAGGUGACACAUGCACACGAGUGGAACCUCUGUGCCUAGCACUGUGCUGGGACUCUGGGGGGAUGCACAGGUGAGCAGGUGCAGCCCACGCUGUCAGGAAUACCCUGAGAACCUGGCAACACUCCCGGGACUCAAGAAGGCAGGUGGGAUGAGAACUACAACAGAGGUGCAAAUGUUUACACCUAGAAGAUUUCACUACCAAAGCUGCUACUUUGGAGUAUCUGAUGAAUAACCAAAGAUUUCAAAAUUAGCAAACAAAAGACAAUCAACAACCUGUAAGAUACCCUGAUGCAUAAGGACUCACAACAGAGCACUUCCUUCAGAAGACCUCUGGUUUCUGACUCCAGGAAUCUGACUUCUGCUCCACAGCCACUCCAAGGGCUCCACUUUGGACUAUAAUUUGUAAGAAGACUGGGCUUUGGAGUCAGACACAUCCAAGUUCAGAGCCCACCUGGAUGCUGUGAGAUUCUGGCAAAGCCACUCACUCCCUCUGAAAAGUGGAUUGCGGGGAAGAUUAAGAGAGACUACUGAAGUGCCAUGUUUAAGUUGACAUCAGGAACACGGGUGCUACCUCCUUCCCAUGUUGCGAAAGCUUUGAUUUUGACCCAUCCUUGAGUCCUCAAGCUUGAACUCUGACCAGCCUGGGGAAGCUCAUUUGGUAUAUUGAUUUGAUUUGAUUUUUUUUCCUUUCUCUUUAUCAGUUCUGUGGCUAAAAGACCUCAGUCCUCCGGGCGACAUCACAUUGAUGCCUUUCACAAGCACUAACAUUCCCAUUCAAAACCGGAAAAUAUUUGACUAUCUUUGUUGUUGCUGCUAUAAAUCCUAUUGGAUUCACGUCAAAUAGGACAAAUUUCAAAUUUCACCCACGAGACCUUUAUCGGGUUUGCAUCCUAUUCAGAGACCCACAGUGGAAAACGGAUUUCAAAAUUGUGUGCACUGCAUUUUGAGGCUGAAUAUUUUAAAACCUGAAUGCAUAACCAAAACAUUGGCACAGGGCAAAUAAACUGUACUGACCCAUAUCAACGAAUGAUAUCAACUCCACUCCUACCCAGAGUGAGUGGAAUUGCUUAUCAAACAGACCCUUUCUCAUCUUCUCAUAAAUAACAACAACACAGAGAAUAGAAUGGACAGGACCCCCUUCCUAUUAUUUCUUCCUAUAUUUUCUUUCCACGGCUUUCUCACACCACAACCGACAAAAUAAGAUUACAGGAAUUUGUAAAUCAUUAGGAGCCUACAAAUUGCACAUCUGUGACUUAGAAUUUGGUAAAUUAAACAAAAGGCCUUUUUUUGUAUCUAUAGAUUGUGAAACGGACACCAUUAGGUUGCCUUUAAAAUACGUAAUAAAGCACACCUUCAGAUUCAAAUCUAUAGGUAAUCUUCUCACAGAUGAAAUGGUUCAUAUAACAUUAGUGACACCACAAAAUACCGUAUUAUAGCUCAUGAAUUACCAUCAUGCCUUUUACAAUU